rnacentral:lncRNA from 12 species
AUCUGAUGCACUCCCUGGGCAGAAAGAAUCAGCAAGAGUUAAGCAAAGCAUCCAGCAAGACAUGGUGGUGAACCCUGGCUCUAAGUCUUCAUGAUUAAGCGACUCUUUUGCACAACACAAAGUGAAUGUUGCUUUAGAUCUGAAUCUUUGGUUACCCCAGACAUUUAAGUGCCUACCAUUUGGUUGGAAUGAAGGGAUCCAGCAAGUGAACAAAUAUACAGGUAAAUCUACACUCUGGCUGUGGUGAUCUUACAUUUUUCUAGCAUUUUCAUGUAAACACACAUACACACUCACAAAAUAUUCAGCUUUCUGAUCUUAUCAGGAUGGGUAUCACUGUCCCUAUUUUAUAGAUGGUCAGACCAAGGUUUGACUAAUAACUAUGUCUGUGGCCA